UACGAAGGGGGCUAGCGUUGCUCGGAAUCACUGGGCGUAAAGCGCACGUAGGCGGCCCUGUAAGUCCGUUGUGAAAGUCAAAGGCUCAACCUUUGAAAGCCGAUGGAUACUGCAGGGCUAGAGUCCGGAAGAGGCGAGUGGAAUUCCUGGUGUAGCGGUGAAAUGCGCAGAUAUCAGGAGGAACACCAAUGGCGAAGGCAGCUCGCUGGGACGUGACUGACGCUGAGACGCGAAAGCGUGGGGAGCAAACAGG
rnacentral:rRNA from 1 species